AUCACCGAGGUGCCAACCAACGGAUUGAGGAUGCCGGCAGGAUGGAUGGUGUCACCUAUGCUGAUGAACAGACUGACCCACGACAGGACGAGACAGACUGGGGGCCAGGAGCCCAGUAAAGGAGGCUGAGCUCCUCCUAGCUCCUCAGAGCCUCUACUCUAUGGAUCUGAACUCCUAGAUUCUGCUUCUUCCCUGGACACCUUCAGGAAGACUUUGAGAAUUGCCCCUACCUGACCUCAGUGCCCUCCUGUCUGGAGCCACCACUUCACCAUGGCAAAGGGCUGGGUUCUGGGGAACUUGCCCACACACUAUGAAUUUCUCUACAUGCACCACAUUUGGCUUUGCUCUGUAUGAUUGAAGAUGGUAACACAGGGCCCUCAGAUUAUUUGAGAGUGUAGCAAACAUUUUCAAAGUGACAACAAAAAGGACCUCUCUUUAAAGGUAAAGUUAUCAUUCUUAAGUCACAGAACAGUUGGAGUCCCCAUCUGGUAGAUAUCAGUUGCUUCUGAAUCUGAUGUUUGAGGGAAAUCCCUGGUCUGAGAAAUGCCUGUUUCCCUGCCCACUGUCCUCUUCUCCCCAUAUGAGGGUGUGCCUGGGGCCCCUCAAGACAAUCAGCUGCUGCCUCCCAGGGGACACACCCCUUUCUCUGGAAGAGGUAGUGGCAACAUAAAACUCCUAAGCAACAUUUUAAAUACAAGAAGAGUAUAUAUUUAUUCAUAAAGUAUCCUGCUAAAGAGGGAAAGUGCACAUUUAUUCACAUACAGCUCAGAACUUGUAAAAUUCUGCAAGCAAAUGGAUAUUGAAUCAGUCCCCUGACAUAUGCAUUCAGGAAGAAUAAAUUUCAAUAAUAUGAGGCCAA